rnacentral:tRNA from 1 species
GCAUUAGUAGCUCAGCGUUUAGAGCGUCGGCCUUGUAAGCCGAACGUCGAAGGUUAAAUUCCUUCCUACUGCUC